UGUGCCGGCCGACACACG
rnacentral:misc_RNA from 1 species